rnacentral:rRNA from 1 species
UGCGUAGGCGGCUUUUAAGUUUGGUGUGAAAUCUCCCGGCUCAACUGGGAGGGUGCGCCGAAUACUGAGAGGCUAGAGUGUGGGAGAGGAAAGUGGAAUUCCUGGUGUAGCGGUGAAAUGCGUAGAUAUCAGGAGGAACACCGGUGGUGUAAACGGCUUUCUGGACCAUAACUGACGCUGAGGCACGAAAGCGUGGGUAGCAAACAGGAUUAGAUACCCUGGUAGUCCACGCCCUAAACGAUGCAUAUUUGGUGUGGGCCAUUCAUUUGGUCUGUGCCGGAGCUAACGCGUUAAAUAUGCCGCCUGGGGAGUACAGUCGCAAGGCUGAA